rnacentral:rRNA from 1 species
AUUGAACGCUGGCGGCAUGCCUUACACAUGCAAGUCGAGCGGCAGCGCGGGGGCAACCCUGGCGGCGAGCGGCGGACGGGUGAGUAAUACAUCGGAACGUGUCCUGUCGUGGGGGAUAACCAGUCGAAAGACUGGCUAAUACCGCAUGAGAUCUCACGAUGAAAGCGGGGGACCCCGAGGGUAACUUCGGGGCCUCGCGCGAUUGGAGCGGCCGAUGUCGGAUUAGCAGUUGGCGGGGUAAAAGCCCACCAAGGCGACGAUCCGUAGCUGGUUUGAGAGAACGACCAGCCACACUGGGACUGAGACACGGCCCAGACUCCUACGGGAGGCAGCAGUGGGGAAUUUUGGACAAUGGGGGCAACCCUGAUCCAGCCAUGCCGCGUGUGUGAAGAAGGCCU